rnacentral:antisense_RNA from 1 species
GUCUAUGGGCGAUCGGGCGGGGAGAGCCGCAAGGCUCGCCGGUGCCGCACCGGUAGACCAAUCCUCAUUCGGUCGCCCACCCGA